GACAGAGGGUGCAACCGUUGUCCGGAUUUAUUGGGCGUAAAGAGCUCGUAGGCGGCUUGUCGCGUCGAAUGUGAAAUCCUGCGGCUCAACUGCAGGCUUGCAUUCGAUACGGGCAGGCUCGAGUUCGGUAGGGGAGACUGGAAUUCCUGGUGUAGCGGUGAAAUGCGCAGAUAUCAGGAGGAACACCGGUGGCGAAGGCGGGUCUCUGGGCCGAUACUGACGCUGAGGAGCGAAAGCGUGGGGAGCGAACAGG
rnacentral:rRNA from 1 species